UACGAAGGGGGCUAGCGUUGCUCGGAAUCACUGGGCGUAAAGGGUGCGUAGGCGGGUCUUUUAAGUCAGGGGUGAAAUCCUGGAGCUCAACUCCAGAACUGCCUUUGAUACUGAAGAUCUUGAGUUCGGGAGAGGUGAGUGGAACUGCGAGUGUAGAGGUGAAAAUUCGUAGAUAUUCGCAAGAACACCAGUGGCGAAGGCGGCUCACUGGCCCGAUACU
rnacentral:rRNA from 1 species